GUGCUUACUUCAGCAGCACAUAUACUAAAAUUCAAAUGAUACAGAUAUUAACAUUGGCCCUGCUCAAAGAAGAUGUACAAAUUUGGAAAGUGUUCCACAUUACU